rnacentral:rRNA from 1 species
CAGCCGCCGCGGGAAUACAGAGGGUGCAAGCGUUAAUCGGAAUUACUGGGCGUAAAGCGCGCGUAGGUGGUUUGUUAAGUUGGAUGUGAAAUCCCCGGGCUCAACCUGGGAACUGCAUCCAAAACUGGCAAGCUAGAGUAUGGUAGAUGGUGGUGGAAUUUCCUGUGUAGCGGUGAAAUGCGUAGAUAUAGGAAGGAACACCAGUGGCGAAGGCGACCACCUUGACUGAUACUGACACUGAGGUGCGAAAGCGUGGGGAGCAAACAGGAUUAGAGACCCCCGUAGUCCCUGUCUCUUAUAC